rnacentral:rRNA from 1 species
GGUAGAGCACUGGAUGGGCUAGGGCCGCCCACAGCGGUACCAAACUCAACCAAACUCCGAAUACCUGGGAACUUGCGCGGGAGACACACGGCGGGUGCUAACGUCCGUCGUGGAGAGGGAAACAACCCUGACCACCAAUUAAGGUCCCCAAAUAAUGGCUAAGUGUGAAAGGAUGUGGGAUUGCUUUGACAAUGAGGAGGUUGGCUUAGAAGCAGCCA